CGAUGCCUUGGGGGUGCUGAGGGGGAGGGAGGCUUAGUGCAGUGGCUGGGAAUGGGGAAAGGCCGACCGCUAUGCCUUUUCCUAGAGACCCGCCAGGAGGUUUUGCUAAGGAGCUGAGAAAGAGGCUCCUAGGGCUUUGAAAGAGGCAGGGAGGCGUCCCGGGGCGGGCUUCUGCAGAAGUCUCAGGCUCCUCUGCCAGGUAGGCGCAACCCUCUCCAAAUGGUGUGCUCGCAAUGUGCCAACAUGUGCUUGUGCUUAGCUAUCAAGUCUGUGUUGGCUUUUACACGCUCUCACUGUGUUGUUGCUGUAGGUUUUGGCAGUGUGAUAGUAACGGGAAGUGAAGCUACACAAAAGUGCUUUUGUGAGAUUUCAGCUCCCCGCGAACCCAGUGGUUCAAGGCAGGAGGAAGCCCCUCACCGCCCCUCCCUUCUGCAAUGUAGAGGGGCUUUUGCAGCUUGGCUGCUGUGGCCCCUUCAGAAGGGCAGGGCCUCGGUGGGGAGUGGGGUGGGGGGCAGAAGGGGAAGCCUCUCCUCCAGUCCCGUCUUUGUCUUGUUGAUGGUAGGACUGCCUGCCCCGGUAAAGGGAAGCUGGAACACCCAUCCUACAUUGUUUUAUUUGGUUCAUUUCUGCCUGGGAGUGCUUUGUGGCCUUGCGUAAAUGGUGGAGGGAGGAGAGGAGGAGGAGAGGAGAGGAGAAGCGACGUGGACUCCACCUGUCUGGGGCUUCUUUGAAAACCCCUGCCGCCUCCCUGGGUAUUCUUUAAGGUCAUGCUGGGCUUUCUCCUUCGGGGUUCCUGAGAAAGGCAUCCAUUCCAUGCUUCUUGUCUUGGAUGCUAAGGUCCAGAUUUGAAUUCUCAGUGAUUAAAUAUUCCAGAGAGAGGAAUACUAAGGAUUUAGAUACAGCGAAUUUACUUAAGGGCCCCACCUGAAUCUGUUUUAUCCCGUAAAAUUUCCCCCAAAGGAAAAGAAAAUGCACUUAUAAUAUGAAUUUAUAUGCUGUGGCUAUGUGAGUAGCUAUAAAUAAUCAGAAAAUGCAAGUCUCUUUAGGUUAAAACUCACAAACAAAAUUCCCAAAGUGGCAGCUAUGGUACACUUCCUCUCAAUUUCAGUGACCCGUGGCCCCCUUAGGUUUAUGGAUUUGGCCAGAGAAGCUUCACUUUUCCAAGUAGUUUUUAAUAAUUGCACGGUGAUUGCUCUGUCAUUAAUGAAGAAUAAAAAAAUGACACUAAAAUAUGAGAGGUUGUGGUAUUUGAAGUUUUAGAAAGGGAGUUAAUGAAACACUAGCUAUCACUCUGCAGAAAUUCUAGGUUAUUUAAUAUCUUGGACAAAAGGAAACAUUUUGAUUCUUUUUUAGUGACUAGGAGAAACAAUGUUUUGAGAAGAGAUGUUUUGAUUUAGCCUGAGCUUUUCGUGGCAGGGAAAAAAAUGUCCAUUUUCUCAGUUUUUUCCAGAUGACCUCCUUUCUACCAAGAUGUGUUGUAAGUGAUGGAGGAAGUAGGCAUCUUCCUGUAUCUGGAGGUGCAGGCUGCAUCCGGGGAGGGGGCUGGUCCUUGGGCAGUGGCAGCUCCUUCGAUGCUCUCAUGCUCUCGGAUACCCUCAGUGUGUUCUUGUUUACGGAGUGGCAAUGUCUCCAGGAUAGUUCAGGAGCUGUACGUAACCACCAGGGACCACCCGUGCCUGCUAUAACUCAACUCAGGCCUCUGGCAUCUCAGAGUUAAAAAUAGGUGAAUGGAGAAGAUGUGUCACACUUUGUGAAAAUGACAGCAAAGGGCCCCACCACAUGUCGAGGCAGACAUGUCUUUGCUGCUAUGAUGUGGUUGGAUGAGCUUUGCCAGGAUUUGGAGGAGGAUUCUGCUAGCACAGUGGUAGUGGCCUGUACUGUCUGUCUUCUAGGCAGUGGGGUGCAGGGCCAAAUCACUCAGCUGGAAGCCCCGGUCCCCACCCGUUGGGAGAGCUGGCUGCUGGCAAGUAGGGAUAAAGUGUGACGGCACUGUGGGUGAAGGCAGUGCCCCCUCUCCAACUCAGACUCUCUUGGGUCUGGGGCCACCAGAAUAUUCCUCCUCCAGCAGUGAAUUUUCCAUUUUGUUCGGGAGACACGCGCACUUCUAGUUGAGGCCUUUUGAACCACUCCUUCGUGCUAGAGAAUAGGAUGUCGUCCCUGCUUGGGGAGCAUGGGGCAGGCCAGCUGGUGCCCAAGGGGGUCGGUACUGGGUCUGCUAAACAUGAAGACCGUCUAGUUCUGCUGCCUAGACACAGCAGAAGCCAGACUUCUGUAUUAAGGGAGACAUUUCCACUGGCAGACGGCUGUGUCCAGCGAUGCCCAGAUGCUCACCUGGUUGAAAUCUGGUUUUCUGAGCAGCAGCCUUGGGUCCUCCUGAGAGGGUGGCAGGCUCUGUUGUCUUAGCUCAUGGUCUGUCCAUUCAUCAUGUACGUCCUAGGCUUCAUCCUAGUGUGCUCACAUCUUACUACCAGAGUGGCAUGGGAAAAAGAAGAGCUGUGGAUUGUGUGAUGUCGAGUCAAACCUAGCAAAGCUAGUGCAGUGACUGCUCCUGGGACAGUCUCCUGGAGGUGUCCGCAGGAGUGGGGACCCCGCUGUCAGUGUGGAAGGGAGUAGGGACCACCCUGUGGAUGUAACAGAGCGUAACUCAAAUCUAAGAAGUCAUUUAUCCUGCUUGUGAUUUUUUAUUUAAACUCAUGGCAGAAAAUAAUCCAGGACUGUGGACUGAUUGUCUUCUUAAAGCAGGGAGCAAAACUGAAUUCUUCCCAAGAGGACUUGGUGCACAUUAAAAGGCAGACUCUUCUCUUGCUUGAAUCUAGUCUUUGGAACAGCCCGUGAGAAGAAGAGCAAACACUACUGCUGUCUCUGGGACAGAUGUCAUUGGGGCCUCGCCAGUCUCCUGAGAGCAGGUUGGUGGGGUCACAGAAGCCUCCCCCGGCCCAGAAAGCAGGGCCUUUUCAGUGGGUCUGGGCCAGGAGCCCUCAGACAGGUGCAGCAUCGAGGGUCUGGGAGGCAGCCAUCUGUCAGAGGCAGGGAAGGACCUCCGUUGUUCCCCUGAGGUGUCUGGAUUGGGAAGGAAAGAGAGGCAGCUGACAAGAGCGCCCCAGAGUUGAGAGAUGUGGGGAGCAGGAUAGGAGAGAACUGGAGCCCUCUGAGGUGUGUCUGGGCAGCGCUGGUGUGUCUGCAGACUUCUGUGUACCCGGGAGUGAACUGCCCCCUGCUGUCGCCUGCUGUCUGCCUGCUGUGAGGUCACCUGGGUGCUGGAGCUCCGAAAGGUGCCUCCUGAGAGGUCUGGGACGGUCGUGGGCAGCCACCUCCCUACCCGGAGCUUCUACUUCUGCCCCUGUAAAAGGAGCAGCUCUCCAGUCCCCUGGUUCUAGGAUUCUAGAUGGUCCAAAAGUCCAUUAACAGAGUUUAAAGGCAGAGGAGCUGUGACUGUUCCUGGAAAGGCCCCCCGCCCCCCAAUCCCAGAGCCACUUCUCACAAGUAUCACAGCUCUUGCCUGUGUCUAUGUGUGUGUGUGUGUGUGUGCGUGCGCGCAUGUGUGCACGUGUGUCCAUUACAAUCCUAGAGUCUGUUGGUGCCUUAUGGAUGUGGCUUUGAUUUCCAGCUGGGUCAAGGCAGGUGCAGGGGAGACCAGGAUCUCAGGGGUAGGGCUCAGCUCACCAAAGCCACAAGCUUUCCUAUGUUCUGGGUGAGGGGCACUACCAACCCAGCUGGAGAUCUGUCCCCCCCACCCCCACCCCACUCCGCCACACACACCCAGGGGCAGGUGGAGCCACACCUGCUGAGAUUGUCCUGUGACCAGAUUCUGGGAAGGCUGCCGCCUGCUGCUGGGGCCUCUGUGGGAGCGGCAGAAGAAAGCAAGCCUGGGCCUUGCUGGCAGCCCAGCAGGGACCUGGGACUGUCCCAGAGUCCCUGGACAAGGCAAGCAAGCCUGUGCAGGGUGAAGUGCUGGGCCAGGUCCCCACAGGCCCCCACCCCCUCCUCGCUGCCAUGCCCAUGUCUGGUCCAGCUUGCUGGAGGAGUGACCCAGCGGCAGGCACCUACAGAGCUGCUCUCUUCCUUUUUGUGGCCUGAAAAAUGGUGGUAGAGUUUAACAGUGAGAGACAAGGAGGAGUCAAAAGAGGUAACUUAUAAUUUUUCAGGCAGCUCUGCCUUUUGUGCCUGGAGCUUCUGGCCACUUGGGCUAGAGCAAGCUUCUUCCUCCUUUUGUUGCCAUUUCUGGACUUUAGCUUGUUAAAUAGUUAAAUCCCGACGGGACUCAAGGUGAGAGAAACCUGUUCUGGUCAGGAAGGCCACACUUCCCUUAAGUGGAGUCACCUGCCUGGAGGCAGCUGCAGGAAGAGGGUUGGAAGCUGGCUUAGGAAGUCAAUGGGGGUGACUGAGGGCUUGACAUUUGCUGUGUGGGCUCUGAUGAUUGGUUCAGGGAUACUCUCUGCUCAUGAUGUGUGCACACCCAGCUCCACCAGAGCUUGGCUUCUUCCCACCCACCCUCAAACUGCCGGCACCAGGCCCGUGCUUGAGGCCGGCCUGGGACUUGGCCAUUGGCCUUCUGACUGGGCAGCGUUUGGGUUGGCGCUUCACAGUGACUGCCACACUUUCGGCCGAGGAACCUGGGGAAAGGUGGAGUCGGAGUGUCAGCGAGGUCACUGAAAAACUGGUCUGCAUUUCGAGUUUGUGCUUAGAGUUCUUGGAAAGUACAGCACGCCCUCCGACCGGCCCGCCUGGGGGGAUUUGGUCCGCUUGCUCCUGCCUUCGUACACCUCCAGGGAGCAGUCCUGCAGGCCCCUCUGGCAUCUGUGUGUGGGAGUGUAUGUGUCUGGGCUGCAAAGGACAGGGCUGGUUUCCCUCACCCGCAUCCCCCUACAACGGCAAGAGGGCUGCAGUGUGCAUGGACGCUUCUGCAAAGAGGUGUUUCUGAGUCUGCUGGCAGGACAGCUUGGCGUGCUGGUCUAUGAAGCACUUCCUUCCGCUUGGUUAGAAACCCUUCAUUCCAGACAGGGCCACCUUGUUCUAAGUCAGUGAUAGGAAGCUGAAACAAGUUGUUUAGAAAAACCAGGAAAAGCUUCUGAUGGUCGCGUCUCAGGCACCUUUCAGCCUGGUAGUCCAGACCUUCCAGGCUGUGGCCGGCUGCUUGGUUUCUGCAUUUCUGUGUUACAAUCUUUUGAGCUGUUGGCGACUAGGAGUGCGGUGUGGAGGCAGCUGGAGAUUUGGCCAGGCACGAGGCAGGAGGUGGGUCAGCGCUGUCUUCUUUGCAAAAAUUGUCUCUGCACUGCUCCAUCUGACCGGCAGUGGCAGCGACCACACCCAGCUGCUGCAUCUAGAGAUGGGGUGGUGGGGGUGAGAUGCCUGUUCUGAGCCUCCACCCUGCUCGGACACUUGGCUGCAAGAAUCUAGAACCUUGUCUGAACCUCCUGGUGCUGAGGUGUGCCUCUGUUUGACAGAAACCAGAUCCCUUGCAAGGCUCAGGGGUCCUGCUGAGCUGGAGGUAAACACAAAGCAAGCGGAGGCAGGCGCUGGCUUCAGUGCCCCUGAGCACCCUGCCUGGUGCCGCUGCAAGGUGGGAGGGGGCGUGGUGGCUCGGUGCACCUGCACCUGCACACUUGGCCGCUGUUUGACGCACUUGCACAGCUUCCUGACCAGCCUGGCCUCCCUCAGACCUAGCGCCUGGGCAGCCCUAGCCUGCCUGGACUCCUCAGUGGAGUGAGUCUGAAAAUUCCGGAUCAGGGCCCGUCAGAGUCAGAAGAAAGCCAGCCAUUCAGCAUUCUGUUUAGAAAAUGAUGAUACAUGUUCAGGGAGAAAGCAAGAAUGUAUUUUCUGGCCGGGAGAUACUCGAGUGUUCCAAGCCAGGAACAGAGACUCUGGAAAGCAGAGUUUCUCUGGCUUUCUCCACCUCCGAUAAAUCACGGAUGGCGAACAUCAGCUUCCUUACAGUAAUUGCCGUUUUCCUGUUGUUGUUUGGGGUUUUCUGUUUUGUUUUUUUGUAUUCCACUUUUUACCGUAGUGCAAACAGCUUCUGUGUUUCCUGUGACAAAGAAUCCUGAGUCCCCUUAGGUCUCUCAGCUGGAAGUAUUUCACCCCAAAUGAGAAGUUAAUGCAUUUUUUUUUUUUUUUACAAGGAUUUGUAUGCUGAGUGUAACUUGCUGUUCAGCAGUUGAGAAUAGGGGAUUCUGAAAAGUUUGGAAAAAAAGAAUUUUAAAUAGAUAUCAAGAGGUUCCUGCAGAACUCCCGCACCAGCCUCUGGCACACCUCUGUUUAAGCAGGCUCUUGGUGGGCAGCAGCUUCUGACAUGACGGGCGCCCUGCCUCCGAGCGAGCACCCUGACUCUGCUGCCAAUACCGUGAUUCUAAGGAUAUGAGCGAAACUCAGAAUUACAGUAAUGCCAUCACAGCUCAAUACGUACCAUUCCCUCGGCAGCUGAAGACAGAAUGUAUUAUUUCGGGGGGCUCAAAUCCCUUUCAUUUCACAGCCAUACCCACUAUUUCUCAGCUUGGCUUGGGAGUCAGAUGGGAAAAGUGGUGAGAAUUUUAAGCUCAUUGAAUGCAAGCUGAGAUCGCCUUCAUCGGCAGUCGUCCAGCUCUGGUUUGGCCAGAGCAGAGCUCCGAGGCUUGGAGGCUGGAGAGCGGGCCGCCUCCCUGCUGCUCUGCUGGGCCGCUGGGGCAGCACGAGCUGAUGUUGUGAGUGCUGCUCAUGCCCAGACCAGCUGGCAGGGAGCUUUUCCAGGCCAGGUACAAACCCACUGUGUAUAUGUAUUCUCAAGUUUAAAUAGAUUGUACAUACUGGAAUGUAAAUGAACUGUAAAACAGCAAUCUCUAUUUUUCUUGACAGUUAUAUAGCAGUAUAUAUUUGUUAAACAGGCUCGUAUGCUCUUCAUUAGCCCUUUUAAAAUGUUGUACAGAUAAAUUGAUUAAAUAUUUUAUUGAUA